ACUCAUGGCCAUAACACCCUGACAACGCCCUAUCCCGUCUGAUCGUGGGAGCUAAGCAGCAUCAGUCCUGCUUAGUACUUGGACGGGAGACCGCCUGGGAUUGCCAGGUGCUGUAAGAU
rnacentral:rRNA from 1 species